AUGACAUCACUUGGUUCCUAUGCAAUAACACCUUUAAUUCAAAAUUUAAAUUUCAAAACUUAUCUUUUAUCGUAUCUUCCAUUUUCUCUCUCAUUUGUUUUUUUUCUCUUUGUCUCUCCCGGUUCUUCUUCUUCUUCUCUCUUUCUUCUCUCUUCCCUCUCUUCAUCUGCUACUAAUCCGAUAAUAGCUUGCGGAUAA